UCUAGUUCCCACAUCAUAAUCUUUUCCACACUCAGAUCCACUUGUUAAAGGAAAGACCUUUAAAAACUUCACAGCAAAUUAUCCCAAAAUUAAUCAAACAAUUUAAACACAUGGAUCAUAAAACACUAGAUUCAGAUCUAUAAUAUAUUAAGGCAAUUCACACAAUCUCUAGAUCAAAUGCAGAUCUAUGAAUAAAAUAUUUCAAAAUCAUCAUGCAGAUCCAAUUAACACACAAGAAAGAAAAAAAAAAUGUAAAGUCAUAAUUACCUGAGCAGCAACAAGGCCACUAAUGUGAGCCAUAUCACAAAGCAAAAGAGCCCCACAUUUAUCAGCAACUUCUCUAAACCUUUUAUAAUCCCAAUCUCUAGGAUAAGCACUACCACCACAAAUAAUCAAUUUAGGUCUAAAAUCCAAAGCUUUCUCUUCCAACUUAUCAUAAUCAAUAUACCCAUCUGUAGAAUUCACCUUAUAAGGCAAAC